ACACGCAAGAUUUUUAUCUGGUUUACUUUACGACUUCGCUUGAAUGUUUAUACUUGUAUAUUCGAAGAAAAGCAAGCAUACGGAUGCAAAUGUAAUAAAAAACUUUGGUAUAGAAUCCCCGAAUUCGGGUAAAAAAUGGAUAUGAGCGGAUGGAGAUAUUCUCCAGAUAGAGAAUAUAUAAUAUAAACAUUUAGCUGCAGGAGACUUAUAGUUUUCGAGGUACUUGCAUUUGAAACCCAAAUUUCACAUAUUAAGGUUAGCAUCCCCCGAGUUCGGGGUUAAAAUCGGUAUGCACAGAUAGGGGAGACUUUCUUAAGGAUAUGUAUACAUUUAGUUGCCGCUGACUUACGAUGCUGCCCGGUUCUAAGUUACAAGGAUUGACCCAGAUUUUAUCCGGCCAAGGGCUGUUAUUUCGGCGAACUAACAUUGUUUGGAUUGGUAAGUUUUAGUUAAAGUUUGUCGUCAUUAGAGCAACGCCAAGUAGCAGAGUUGCUGCGCAUCCUCCUGACUCGUACUGGCAUCGAGUCUAGGCCCCGAGGAAUUCUUCAGCUGCAUUUGUCUUGUCUCGGAAGACAAGUACCAUCCUGCUAUCGACAUCUUGCUUAUUUUUCGGCCGGGGUUGACGCCAGAUAAUUCCUCAUCAUACGUAUUUAAAAAGGCUAACUACGCAGCCCUUAAUACUUCUCUCCUAAGAACGAAUUGGAUUGACCUCUACAAAUUCGAGACUAUUGACAGUAAGUUGGACUUUCUCUAUGCAAAAAUCUUUGAAGGUGUAAACCAGUUUGUUCCAAGCCGAGUAACUAUCCAUAUUGGUUCUCACAUGAUCUCAUUCACAAAGCUAAACAGAAGAAAUCUGCACACCUGAGAUAUAAAAAUCGGAAAACUAAGCCAAAUUAUUUACGAUUCAGCAGGUUAAGAUUGGAAUGCAAAAAGUUAAGUAUCGAAUGCUACAAAAGUUAGAGGACAAACUGCAAUCGGAGAGCAUUCUUUAAUUUUAUCAAGGACGAAAACCGUUGCACCGGUGACAUACCAUCUUCAGUCUGCACUUGCAAAACUAUUUGAGAGGUUAGUGCUUCCACAGAUACGUCAGGCAUUUGAAAACAUCAUAACAACCAAACAACAUGGCUUUACUGGUGGCAGAUUUACCACUACCAAUUUGUUCAUAUACGUCGACAAACUGCUGAACUCCAUGGAUUCCGGCAACUGCACACACAGCAUUUACACAGACUUCAGCAAGGCUUUCGACUGUGUUGACUACGAAAUACUUUUAGAUAAGCUAAGUAAAUAUGGUGUGGCUGGACGUGCAUUAGCUUGGAUACGUACAUACCUCACAGACAGACGCUUGCAAGUCAGAGUAGAUGGCCACUUAUCCAGUGAAUAUGAAGUAAUCUCUGGUGUGCCACAAGGAUCUCACCUUGGUCCUGUACUGUUUAACAUCUUCGUCAACGACAUUGGUAAUAACUUUGCUUCUGAUUUCCUUCUGUAUGCUGAUGACCUCAAAAU